GUGAACGCUGGCGGUAGGCCUAACACAUGCAAGUCGAACGGCAGCACAGUAAGAGCUUGCUCUUACGGGUGGCGAGUGGCGGACGGGUGAGGAAUACAUCGGAAUCUACUUUUUCGUGGGGGAUAACGUAGGGAAACUUACGCUAAUACCGCAUACGACCUACGGGUGAAAGCAGGGGAUCUUCGGACCUUGCGCGAUUGAAUGGGCCGAUGUCGGAUUAGCUAGUUGGCGGGGUAAAGGCCCACCAAGGCGACGAUCCGUAGCUGGUCUGAGAGGAUGAUCAGCCACACUGGAACUGAGACACGGUCCAGACUCCUACGGGAGGCAGCAGUGGGGAAUAUUGGACAAUGGGCGCAAGCCUGAUCCAGCCAUACCGCGUGGGUGAAGAAGGCCUUCGGGUUGUAAAGCCCUUUUGUUGGGAAAGAAAAGCAGCAGGUUAAUACCCCGCUGUUCUGACGGUACCCAAAGAAUAAGCACCGGCUAACUUCGU
rnacentral:rRNA from 1 species